AAAAAGACAAACACUGCGUUUACAUGUCUAACGUUUGACUUUCUGUCUUAUAUAAAAUUAUUUUAUAAUUAGUAUUUUUAUUAUUGUUAGAUGAUAAAACAUGAUUAAUAAUUUAUGUGUGACUUAUUUUUUUAAUUUUUUUUCAUAUUUUUUUCAAAUAAGAUGGAACGUUGGAUACGGAAACCUAGAUUUGUCUUUUUU
rnacentral:pre_miRNA from 1 species